GACGAACGCUGGCGGCGUGCUUAACACAUGCAAGUCGAACGAAGUGGCGAACGGGUGAGUAACGCGUAAUCACCCUGCCCUUCAGAGGGGGACAACAGUUGGAAACGACUGAUAAUACCGCAUACUGAAGGAGGGGAUUGCGUCUGAUUAGCUAGUUGGAGGGGUAACGGCCCACCAAGGCGAUGAUGAGUAGCCGGUCUGGGAGGAUGUACGGCCACAUUGGGACUGAGACAAGGCCCAGACUCCCACGGAAGGCAGAAGGGGGGACUCUUCCGAAAUGGACGAAAGUCUGACGGAGCAACGCCGUGUGAGUGAUGACGGCCUUCGGGUUGUAAAGCUCUGUUAAUAGGGACGCGGUACCGGAAUAGAAAGCCACGGCUAACUACGUGCCAGCCGCCGCGGUAAUUC
rnacentral:rRNA from 1 species